ACGGAGGUUCCUAGCGUUGUUCGGAAUUACUGGGCGUAAAGGGAGCGCAGGCGGACGAUCCAGUCUAAAGUGGAAUCCCGGGGCUUAACCCCGGAAGUGCUUUGGAUACUAGUCGUCUUGAGUUCGGGAGAGGAUGGCGGAAUUCACGGUGUAGCGGUGAAAUGCUUAGAGAUCCGGAGGAACAUCGGUGGCGAAAGCGGCCUUCUGGAGGGAUACUGACGCUCAUGCGCGAAAGCGUGGGGAGCGAACGG
rnacentral:rRNA from 1 species